CCUGCUAUCAAUCCCAGAGAGGUAACAGACAUUGUGAGGUAUGACGUUAGGGAGUGGUGGGGACUACAGCAAACUUCAGAGUAUGCACAGUACACUUGCUUUCUAAAGGCAUUUCAUAUAAAAAAUAAUUUGUAAACUUUGUGGACUGAAGAGAACACAUCUUCAGGCCAAUUUCAGUCUUUUAUGGCCUUAACCAGAUUAUGUUGCCCAUAAUUUUCUUUAAACAGAUGAGGAUAAAAGUCUCUUAGUCAUGCAGGCAUGUGUUUGUGUGUUUGGGAGGGGAGGAGGGUGUAAACAUAUAUACAUGCACACACAUAUAUGCUGUUAUACACAAACACAUUGGCGAGAAGAUUUAAUUUUAAAGUGUUUUCAGAAAAUGAGGCCCUCAUCCCCCUUAGAAUCCAGUCCAGGUUUUUUCAAUUCUGUAACUAACUUUUCCCUCCUUCAGUUAUACCAGCCCCCUUCCUCUUGUUCUGACUUUGGCAAAGAUGAAGCCCAGCUGCUCUACUCCACCCAUAAGAGGAGCUUCUGGUUUUAGUUUUGGUCCCUUCCUGUUGCCUAAAGCCCUUGGGAACGAGGCACCCUCACUCACGUUACUCCUUUAGCCUGUAGAGACAGAUAGGCUAGAAGAGACAGGUCGGCCCCACGUUUACGAUGUGUCCACAGAAUUAUUUAUGGUUUGUUUAUCCACUCAAUGUGGAGCAAUUGUGGCCUGUGACUUUCAGCUCCAGGGUGCAUUAACAGAUUUAGGGGUAAAUUGGCAGUGUCAAGCUGCAUAGUUGUACUGGGCUUUUCAGCCUCUCCCCAUAAAGCAAAUAUAGCAAUAAUCCCAGACACUCAGGCACAGUGGCAUUUCUAGAGAGACACCAAUGACCCCAUUAGUCGAGAAGCUGUGGGAAAGCCUGAAACAGGUGAGAAAGCGAUGAAAUUAGGAAAAUGAAGUUCUCUGAUCAUCAGGCUCAGUGGAUGGGUGCAAGUGUGGCAGACAUGGUACAAAAGAUGUGGACCAUGAAUUGGCACCAUGAUUUCAAGGUACUAGAAAACCAAAGUUUGGUGGGGCACCAAGGCAAAGUUUCUAAGGUCCUGUGGGCAUCAGUGCAUACUGCUGGAGGGUCAGUUCUGCAUCAAGGAGAUACAUUUCUGCAAUGAUAUAGGCAUUUGAAAACCCUUGUACACUACAAACAACAGGAUUGAUGGAAAAGUAGGAUAGGAGAUUCUAUCCAAAGCCUACCUAGGGACCAGAGCACAAACAAAAGCAAUCACUGGGCGCUCAGUGUCACUGGACAUUAAAAAUACACAAUGACAGUUGGUGGACAUGUUGGCAGCCCUUCAUUCAGAGCAGGUCUGAUGGGUGCUGGGCAGUGCUGAUGAUAAUGGAGAUCUGAGCUGUUGGGUCUGCUCUUAAGGUGGCCAAAGAGCAACUGCAAUUUGCCAGCAAGCGUCUGGGGUGAACUUCUUGAGGAAGAAGGCCUGAGUGCAGUGAAAACUUUUUAAUUUAUUUUCUUCCUUCUUCCCACUGUUCCAUGUUAUACUGAUAUUAUUCACCCAUAUGUCAAUGGUAUACAUUAAUUCACAUUACAGAAAUGCUAGCAGUAGCAGAAGAGUCCAUAUGAGACAAGUGUAUGGCCUGAGGCCCUGGGAACUAAAGCCCGAGUGCCUACAAGAUAUGCUCAUAAGUUUCUAGGGCCCUGAGUGGUUUCCAACAAAGAGCCUGGAUUUGACUUUGAGGCUGACAGGUAGAAGUUAAGCAUGCAAAGCCUUAAGUAAGUAGUCUGUGCAGUGACCCAAAAGCUCAAAGGAAUGGUGGGGUAGUGAUAUGGACAGGAGGCAGGGAAAGACUGGGAGGAAGAGGGCGGGGUCCUUAGCAAGGGCUCCACUCUCAAGCCUAGACCUGUGGGUCUAAAUGACAACAUACCUUCCUGUUUUCCUACCCAAAUGUUGUCUUUUCCAAAACCACCCUGGCCCACUGUGCCCCCUACCCUGUACGCACAAAAAGUCCAAGCUCCACUGGCAGAGGAACAGAGUGGCAUGACAGAGAAGGAGAGAAAAGAAGAAGCAUCUGAAUGUCGAGAGAAGUUCAGCCAGGGACAGUUGGAGAGGAGUUCAGCUGGGGAUGGUUGAACUCCAGGGAAAGAUUACCUUCCCACUGCAUCCCCUUUCCAGCUCCCCAUCCUGCUGAAGCCACUCCCAUCACUCAGUAAAAUCCUCUGCAUACACCACCCUUCAAUCCUUUCAUGUGACCUGAUUCUUCCUGGGCACAGGACAAGAAAAGAAUUCAAGAUGCACUGGGUGCAGGAACCCAGAAAGGCUGUCACACUGACUCUUCAGUGAGUUGUUUAACACUGAAGCCAUCCAGGAAUGGCAAAGCUAAAAGAAAGAGCCUU
rnacentral:lncRNA from 10 species